ensembl:lncRNA
GUGAAUUUUCCUUUCCCAGGACCGUCGGAUUAAAUUACAGCUCUGAGUUGUUUCUUUUCACCGACACAAUACUUUUAGACAUUUAAUAACUUCUUGCAGACCCACUCAGCCUUCACUGGCAGUGGCGCCCUGCCUGGAAGGUGGCCGUGGCGUCGGCUGAAAUAAUUCCUGCUACUUCCUCAGAGGAGUUUGUGAAGGGGCCAGAUCCCCAGCGGAACUUGAGAAUAAGGUAAUUUGGAGACACCGACGUCAUCAGACCAUCUGUUCAGUAGAACUGCAGCAAGGCUUUCCCCCCCCCGUGUUGUUUAUGCCUUGACGAGGACUUGGGGCUCUUCUCAAUAUCUGCUGGGCAGAGACAAAAUUGUGUUGCAAACAGUCCCUUAGCAUCGCAGCAAAGGGUAAGGACGGAAUACUAACUCCAUCUGGGAUUAUUUGUGUAAGAGGCAGGUGUAAUCAAGUCACUAAAACCCACGACCAGGGAAAGCAGGCAGUUGGCAUGUGAGUGGCCUCACAACCUGAUCUGCUUUCUUCCUGAUGGUUUCUGACGGACUGGGAUUGGACAAUCUGAUCUCUCCAGCCUCAUUGGUUCCUGAGAAGCUGUUCUCAAAAUGCUAUUGCUCAGUGCCAUGCGUGUCUGUCCUCUUCCCACUGUGCCUUUGAGCCUUCUGAACAAUCUGAUCCCUGUGACAUUUAUUGAGCACCUACUAUAUGCCAGGCAGCGUGUUGGGCGUGAGUAUACAGACAGCAGUACACAAAGGCUGUGCCCUUCAGGGGCUCACAGUCUGGAGGCAGAGACAAGUGGACACAAAAUAGGUACGCUUCUCUGCGACUCAUUUUUCCCAUCAUUAAAUGGGAGUAAUUAUCAUCCCUGCCUCUUGAGCUGUUCUGAGGGUUGAAAUGUCAAGCAGAAACAGAAAAUGGGAUCAUAGAUGCUAGAAAACCGACAAAUAUGGAGAAACUCUGGCUGCUACAAAGGGAUUCACUGAGAGCCACGUGGGCACUGGCAUGGGUGGG